rnacentral:rRNA from 1 species
CAGUCGCCACGGUAAUACGUAGGGUGCGAGCGUUAAUCGGAAUUACUGGGCGUAAAGCGUGCGCAGGCGGCUUUGCAAGACAGAUGUGAAAUCCCCGGGCUCAACCUGGGAACUGCAUUUGUGACUGCAAGGCUAGAGUGCGGCAGAGGGAGAUGGAAUUCCGCGUGUAGCAGUGAAAUGCGUAGAUAUGCGGAGGAACACCGAUGGCGAAGGCAAUCUCCUGGGCCUGCACUGACGCUCAUGCACGAAAGCGUGGGGAGCAAACAGGAUUAGAUACCCCCGUAGUCCCUGUCUCUUAUAU